rnacentral:rRNA from 1 species
CCUACGCGUGGCAGCAGUGGGGAAUAUUGGGCAAUGGGCGCAAGCCUGACCCAGCAACGCCGCGUGAAGGAAGAAGGCCCUCGGGUUUUAAACUUUUUUUGUUAGGGACGACGAAAGUGACGGUACCUGGCGAAUAAGCCACGGCUAACUACGUGCCAGCACCCGCGGUAAUACGUCGGUGGCAAGCGUUAUCCGGAUUGACUGGGUGUAAAGGGCGUGUAGGCGGGACUGCAAGUCAGAUGUGAAAUUCCAGGGCUCAACCCUGGAACUGCAUUUGAAACUGUAGUUCUUGAGUGAUGGAGAGGCAGGCGGAAGUCCGUGUGUAGCGGUGAAAUGCGUAGAUAUACGGAGGAACACCAGGGGCGAAGGCGGCCUGCUGGACAUUAACUGACGCUGAGGCGCGAAAGCGUGGGGAGCAAACAGGAUUAGAUACCCGUGUAGUC